CACGGGGAAGCCAAGAGCUUGCCACUUUUAUUAAGGCAGACUGCAGUAGACAAUCAUUCCCUCACCCCUUAAACACGAGGACCCCUUGAAGAGAAACCAAAGGGAAAAUUCCAUAGUCACAGAGAGAAAAACAGUAAAAGCAAAGGAACAAUAUGCAGACAAGAUUCAGCCGAGGAUCAGAUAAAAGCAAAGAUUUCUCCCUGAGUAAGUCAUCGUAUGUCUCCGUAACAAAGUGAUGAUGGAACAAGAAGGUUGGCAAUGGUGGUUUGAUUGAGACAGGUCAUUGCUCAGCCUGAAUGAAACAUUUUAAACAUAUCUGUUGCUGUGAACACCUUACUUUGCCUCACACUCUAAAAUGAUCCUUUCUACUCACAGAGAAGCUUCUAAGUGUUACGGAGACAAGAUAUGAAGUCUAAAGUCAGUAGCAGUAAUGGAAAGUUGGGCUAAUGUGGAGAUAUUCCAAACAGAGCAAGAGCAAAUGGGAUUCUUGGCUUGUCUCUCAUCGUGAUCCUGAUUGAAGACCACUGGACACAUCUGUCAAGACUCUAACCGCAAUCCAUUGGAAAUCACUGGAGAGCCAAAGGAAAUGAAGUCUCAGACAUAUUGUCCAGGCUGGAAUGUAGCGGCUAUUCACAGGCAUGAUCAUAGUGCACUACAGCCUCAAACUCCUGGGCUCAAGCAAUCCUCCCAUCUCAAUGUCCGGAGUAGCUGGGACUACAGAUGUGUGUUAGCGGCUAUGGCAGCCAUCUUGUGACCAGGAGGAAGCUUCUGAGAAUCACAGAGAUGCAACCUCUGAAGCUGCCAAACCACUGCCAGCAGCUGCCUAACCACUGCCAGCAGCUGCCUAUCUCCAGACAUCUUGGUAGGUGAGAAAAAUAACCCCCUAUUCAUUUCAGUUCCCAGAACUUGGGAUUUCUGUUACUUUCGGCUAAAGGUUUUCUGGAUACAUCCCAGAUCACGCAUCUGCCUUUGCAUGGGCACACAUAAAUGGUCUUUGCUAAAUUUCUACUACUUGUCCUUUUCAUUCAACUUCUUAGUGUUCAGAGGUGUUCCCCUUUGUCUCUUCUCUGGGAUUUUGAAUUUAUGCUACUCUGCUUGAGGAAGCUCUGGAGACAUAUUCCUUAAUCACAACAUUCUGUGAAUAUUGAAAGCCUGGGCAAUGGAAAGAACAUUGGCCAGAAUGUCAGGUGGGGCAAGUUCCAUUCCUACCACUGUCACUCACUGUGUGUACUCAGAC
rnacentral:lncRNA from 1 species